ensembl:lncRNA
AUUAGCCAAACAAGGGAAAUUUGCAACCUAAGCCCUCGUUCUUAGUCGGUUUUGCGAGUGUACAAUUAUGUUAACUCAGGGGCCAGAACCGCCCCAUAAUCCGCUAAUAAAAAUCCAUAAUUUAAAAACAACAUCACUGGAGAAGUCAACAUACAAGUAUUUCCCAUUUAUGACCAUCUUGUGGCUUUUCGGAGACUGAUUGAACCAGCAACUGCCAAUCUUGUGCAGGUCACUCAAGCAGCAUGAGGUCACUCUUCCAUCAAAGGACACUAGACAGGUGCUUGUUGCAGCCAGUGGAUGAGCUAUGCCUGUUCCUCACACUGGAUCUUAGAGACCUGGGCCAACACUUUCUCAUCCAUCCCUCUGCAGUCAGUAGGAUUAUCAUCACCUGGGCCAACUUCCUAUACACACUGCUUGGAGCAGUGACCAUCUGGAUGACACAAGAGGAAAUGAAGGCCAAUUUGCCAGAGGAAUUUAAAAGCUACCCAGAUACGCAGGUCAUUGUUGACUGCACCG